rnacentral:lncRNA from 10 species
CAAAAUUGCUGAGGAAUCAAAGUUCAAAAGGGCCCCAGGUUCUGACCGGCCACUGCGGCUCAUGCCUGAAAUCCCAGCACUUUGGGAGGUCUAGGUGGGAGGAUCACUUGAGCCCAGGAGUUUGGACCAGCCUGGGGAACAUAUAGAGAACUUGUUUCUAUUGUACAGCAACAAAAAUGCCCCAGGUGGGCUGGGCGCGGUGGCUCAUGCCUGUAAUCCCAGCACUUUGGGAGGCCGAGGUGGGCAGAUCACAAGGUGAGGAGUUUGAGACCAGCCUGACCAACAUGGUGAAACCCCGCCUCUACUAAAAAUACAAAAAUUAGCCGUGCAUGAUGGUGGGCGCCUGUAAUCCGAGCUACUUAGGAAGCUGAGGCAGGAGAAUCGCUUGAACCCAGGAGGCAGAGGUUGCAGUGAGCCUAGAUCACACCACUGUACUUCAGCCUGGGUGGCAGGGUGGCAGAGCCAGACUCCGUCUCAAAAAAAAAAAAAAAAAAAAGUUGCCUUUGGAGUCUGAAACCAAUCUGUAGGUUACAGGCAUCCCAGCAUCUUGAUUCAGGCCACCACUGAUGUAACAUCAUCAGUUUUAUGA